GACGUUGACCGAUGACAGUAACGCUGGGCUCGGACUCACGUCAGUGGGUUUCGGGUGCAGAUUCAAGGAUUCGGGUUCGCGACAGGAGGAUGGGUUUUAGUGGCACAGCUUCAAUUCGGAUUCCGAUUUGUUUGGUUUGUUUCGGCUUGUGCGGUUCAGUCUCUGUUCAGUUCAGAUCUAGGGGUUUGCGAGUGGAAAUGGUGACGCCACUUGAGGGGUUUCUGACUGACGAACAGAGGGAGGUGUUGAAAACGGUAACUGGGAGCUGGUAGGUUUUGUCGUCGUCGCCCAAGUCACCGUUGUGGUUGAUUUCUGAACAUGAAAUUCAGGAGACGUCGUAAAUGAGGAAAGUGGAGAUGGAAGGUCGAU